AACUCUACAAUGCAGGCAACUGCGAUAGGGGGACAUCGAGUGAUAUCCACCUUGGGUAUCUGUCCCACCGUCUAAAAAACGGUGGUUAGCAAGGGCCGGGUAAGACCGGUGCCAGCCGCCGCGGUAAUACCGGCGGCUCGAGUGGUGGCCGAUAUUAUUGAGUCUAAAGGGUCCGUAGCCGGCUUCGCAAGUCCCCUGGGAAAUCCAGCGGCUUAACCGUUGGUCGUCCAUGGGAUACUACGUUGCUUGGGACUGGGAGAGGUGGGAGGUACUCGGGGGGUAGGGGUGAAAUCCUGUAAUCCUCCGGGGACCACCGGUGGCGAAGGCGUCCUACCAGAACAGGUCCGACGGUGAGGGACGAAAGCUAGGGGCACGAACCGGAUUAGAUACCCGGGUAGUCCUAGCCGUAAACGAUGCCCGCUAGGUGUCACGACAGUCGUGAAUUAUCGUGGUGCCGUAGGGAAGCCGCGAAGCGGGCCACUUGGGAAGUACGACCGCAAGGUUGAAACUUAA
rnacentral:rRNA from 1 species